CGGCAGAAUUUCAGGGGAGGAGAAAGUUAAUAGAUAAUUUGCUAGUUAGAAAAGCACUGUAGGAGGGAAUGAAUUAGAUAGAAACUGGCCCAUUGGGCUGGGUGGGAUUUGUGAAGGCAAAAAAGAAAACAUGGUGAGAAUAUUCCAAGCAAGGAUGGCAUGAAUGAAGACACACAGUGAGAAGGAACUUAACUGUGUAGUUGCUGGGUGUGUUGACAUUCCCAAAGCAUAAGCUAAGAAUCCUCUCGCCAUGUCAUAUCAGAAUUCCUGAAAUCUAACCCUAGUCAGCAUAUAGAUAUCUUCAAGACUGAGAUUUUUGAAGUGAUUUUCACUUAAGGAAAUGUGGGGACACGUGAAUAAAUACAAUCAAAUGUAUCAUCUAAACACAUUCUCCAAUAUUGAUUAAUCCUUUAAGUGGGUUGUAUUUUGUCAAGAGUCUCAUAAUAUAAGCAUGUAAAUGAAUAUAUGGAAAGCAGGAGUGUAUACAGGUUGAGAAACAGUUUUAUGACUUAGAGCUCUAAUUCAGCUUCUUUAGCCUCCAAAAUAUAUUUUCUUUUUAGGUAGAGUAUAAGAUUUUGUAUAAGUGGUGGUAGACAAAUUUUUCUCUAUUUCUAAGGAUAUAAAAAAAGAAAGAAAGGUAGAGACAUAAAAGGACUGAAACUACAGGCAAAGGUUUCCAGAAAAAGUAUCUUGCCUAUCAGAAUUUUAACAUAGAAGAAAAGAUUACUAAGGACAUCAUUAUUGUUUUUUCUUUUUCCUGUGGGAGACUUGCCAAGCCCAAACAGAUGGUGUUUGUUAAAAAAGAAAAGAGCAAGUAACACACAAACUACAAGGUGCCCUUCUUGAGGAGACCACAAGAGAGAAGAACACUUGGAUACAACUACUU
rnacentral:lncRNA from 1 species